rnacentral:rRNA from 1 species
AGGGCACCACCAGGAGUGGAGCCUGCGGCUUAAUUUGACUCAACACGGGGAAACUCACCCGGCCCGGACACCGUAAGGAUUGACAGAUUGAUAGCUUUUUCAUGAUUCGGUGGGUGGUGGUGCAUGGCCGUUCUUAGUUCGUGGAGCGAUUUGUCUGGUUUAUUCCGAUAACGAGCGAGACUCUAGCCUACUAAAUAGUUCGCACAUUGUCAACUUGUGUGCGCCUACUUCUUAGAGGGAUUUUCGGUGUUCAGCCGCACGAGAUUGAGCAAUAACAGGUCUGUGAUGCCCUUAGAUGUCCGGGGCUGCACGCGCGCUACACUGGCGAAAUCAGCGUGCUUAUCCUUUCUCGAAAGGGAUUGGUAAACCAUUGAAAAUUUGCCGUGAUUGGGAUCGGAAAUUGCAAUUAUUUUCCGUGAACGAGGAAUUCCAAGUAAGUGCGAGUCAUCAACUCGCGUUGAUUACGUCCCUGCCCUUUGUACACACCGCCCGUCGCUACCCGGGACUGAGCCAUUUCGA